UGAGUAACACGUGGGUGAUCUGCCCUGCACUUCGGGAUAAGCUUGGGAAACUGGGUCUAAUACCGGAUAGGAGCCAUCUUUAGUGUGGUGGUUGGAAAGUUUUUCGUGUAGGAUGAGCUCGCGGCCUAUCAGCUUGUUGGUGGGGUAAUGGCCUACCAAGGCGGCGACGGGUAGCCGGCCUGAGAGGGUGUACGGCCACAUUGGGACUGAGAUACGGCCCAG
rnacentral:rRNA from 1 species